rnacentral:rRNA from 3 species
GUUGACCUCGGAUCAGGUAGGGAUACCCGCUGAACUUAAGCAUAUCAAUAAGCGGGAGGAA